UCUAGAAGUUUUUUGCAUUCCUGACACACUCACAGUGACACAGUUCAGUGCCGUUGUGAGCCAGUGAUCUCUGUGGCCUGUGGCAAGGCUACACACUACACACACACAGCGACUUACUAACAAUCAACGUAUUCAUUUCAAGUACCGAGGUGUGUCUCUUGUGGGAACGAUUUUUUUAGCGUGGGUUUUGACCCCCUGACUUUGUAAACGAAGAACAGUCUUAUCUAUUUGGGCCCUGACCUUCUAGGCCCUCUGGAUCUUUAACACCUCGGGCCCUGCCCCUGUAUGCCAUCAAGACCUGAGCUACUGUGUGUCACCUAUUAGGACAAGUAUUUCCAAGUUCACCAGCCAUGGCCAUGCAGCCCCGUAGCACUUCCACAUAUUUCUAUCGGAUCCGGAAGGUUUUCGACAUGCCACAGCUUAAGCGGACACGCUACUCCCCAGAUGCGUGGUUUCUUGGAAACCUUGGCUUCCGUGCGUAUUAUGUAAGAUGCACUCAUUCUGCAUCCACCAUUAACAUAGGGCUGUACCUGAGUCACUGCCAGACCCCCAUGCCUCGGCCUGUGAGGGCACGCAUCGGUGUGAUGGAUUUAACAGAAAGCAACCAUCAGCCAGUGCUGCUAGCUGAUGAGACAAGGAAUGAGGUGGAGGACUGGGCCAGGGGUAUGGAGGUGGAAGUGAACAUUGACAGAUUUCACAAGUACCAAAUGCGUGGUGCCAUUCUGUUUCGAUUUGAUGUGGAAGUGCUAUGAAAUUGUUUCAGGAACGUGAGUGUGGGGAUGAUGUUUUCCUUGAGUUCUGAUGGGACAGAGGUCCUAAGUGUACUGUUUUUACAUAAAAUUGACAGUUUUUGUUAGUCAAAGAAGUGCAUAAAGUGCAAGUAGGUCUUGUGUGCAUAAAAUAUGAUGCUAUGUGAUACAUGUUUAUUAACAGUAAUUAACAUUGUUUUGUACCUUCUCCA
rnacentral:lncRNA from 1 species